rnacentral:tRNA from 1 species
GGAGAGGUGGCCGAGCGGCUGAAGGCGCUCCCCUGCUAAGGGAGUAUAGGGUUUAAACCCCUAUCGAGGGUUCGAAUCCCUCCCUCUCCGCCA